rnacentral:rRNA from 1 species
CUACGGGGGGGCUGCAGUGGGGAAUAUUGGACAAUGGGCGAAAGCCUGAUCCAGCCAUGCCGCGUGUGUGAAGAAGGCCUUCGGGUUGUAAAGCACUUUCAGUGGGGAAGAAAGCCUUGGGGCUAAUACCCUCGAGGAAGGACAUCACCCACAGAAGAAGCACCGGCUAACUCCGUGCCAGCAGCCGCGGUAAUACGGAGGGUGCGAGCGUUAAUCGGAAUUACUGGGCGUAAAGCGCGCGUAGGCGGUCUGAUAAGCCGGUUGUGAAAGCCCCGGGCUCAACCUGGGAACGGCAUCCGGAACUGUCAGGCUAGAGUGCAGGAGAGGAAGGUAGAAUUCCCGGUGUAGCGGUGAAAUGCGUAGAGAUCGGGAGGAAUACCAGUGGCGAAGGCGGCCUUCUGGACUGACACUGACGCUGAGGUGCGAAAGCGUGGGUAGCAAACAGGAUUAGAUACCCGAGUAGUC